AGUAACCAGACAGUAAUAAUAAUUUAUAUCAUCUUUUGGCUACUCUAUAAGUACAUUUUAAAAUUUAACUUUAUCUUCUGAGUCACUCUUACUACUCCUAUUUGAAAGAUGAAGAAAUUGAAGCUGAUGGAAAUUAAGAGAUUUGCUCAAUGACAUGAGCCAACGUGGGACUCAGAUCUAUGCCUGUGUGAUUUCCCAGUAGUGCUUUUAAUCAUGAUGCUCCUGGGGCCUUGGUUUGCAUAGAAACUUCUUGAUAGAUGUGAGAAGAACCUUGGGGACAGUUGAGAGCAACGCAGAGUAGAAGUAAAGAUCUCAAGCACUGGGCGGUCUGACUAAGUGUCCACCGACGAGCCGCCCGAGUGGUGUGGAAGGAAUUGGGGAAUAAGGACCUGUCCAUCUUAGAGCUCUUUAUUACGGUUGGGGAACUCAGAUAGCUGGAGCCUUGGAGGCAGUGGGUACUUCCAUGAGUUAUGGAAAUAGGCAGUGCCAGCAGUAAAUUCAAUUUGUUCUGAAACAUCCCUGUUAUUCAUUCCUAGGGCCAACACCCAUAAUUGCCCUCUAUGUCAGGGUGAGUGGACAAGGGACAAAGUGAGUACCUGGACACAGUCCUCCGACUUCCCAGGAGAAACAGAUGCAUUUUUUCUGAUUCCCCACAGAGGUUGAAUGGGUUAGUGGCAUUUCUGGCUGCUUCUUUCACCCUAGUAGCCUAAACUCUAGAGGGCUAUCUGAGUCCUAGUGUUUCCACACGUUGAUGUUUUAGGGUUCUAUAAAGGCCAUUUGGAAGAUUUUUCUCAGUGGGAUGCCUAGAGAUGUCUCCUUCAGUUGCAACGUCUUAAAAAUGGAUGUCUUUUGAUUGGCAUAAGUUCAUUCAGGUCCUUCUGGAAUUUCCAUUGCAAAUGUCUAACGUGCUUGAAAUUAUGGCUGUCUCAGACAGCAGUGAGUGCUGCUUCAAGCACCUUGACCAUCAGUCACUGGACUGUGGGAGGGAGUUUUAAAGGCUUUGUGCAUCUGGCCUCCUCUCCUGACCCCAUUUUCCAGGCAGGAAUCUAACAUCAACCACACUGACACAUGGGAGCUCUUUCAGCAUUUCAAUUGCUAACAUUGAGCGUGUCUAGUUUCACACUGAGCCCACACCCAACACCUUUCUAUCAUCCCACUUCACUUGAUAUAAUGCUUGUUUUAAUUAUAUAUAGUUGACUUCAUAAUUUAUUUGACAUGGUGGGUAAUAUGGUUUGGCUGUGUCCCCACUCAAAUCUCAUCUUCAAUUGUAGCUUCUAUAAUUUCCAUGUUUUGUGGGAAGGACCCAGUGGGAGACAAUUGAAUCAUGGGGGCUGUUUUCCUCAUCCUGUUCUCAUGGUGGUGAAUAAAUCUCACAAGAUCUGCUGGUUUUAUAAGGGGAAACCCCUUUCACUUGGCUCUCAUUCUCUUCCCUUGUCUGCUGCCAUGUGAGAUGUGCCUUCAGCCUUCCACCAUGAUUGUGAGGCCUCCCCAGCCACCAGGAACUGUGAGUCCAUUAAACCUCUCUCUUUUGAAAAUUGCCCAGUCUCGGUUAUGUCUUUAUUUAGAGUGCGACAGCAGACUAAUACAGUGGGGCAGGGAGGAUAAUUGCCUUUAUGAAUUUAGCAAAUAUUUCUUGGGCACUUUUUUUAAAUGCCUGGCACUCCUCAGGGUUCUGGGGAUACAAUGGCAAGUCCAGCAGUCAAGUUCUCACUGAGCUUACCUUCCAGUGGAUAGCUGCAGAAAGCAAAUAUGUGCUGUAUGAGUUGGUGAUAAAUGCUGUUAGGGAAAAAGGGUAGGGUGAAGCAGACAGGGAGCUGCUGGGAUGGGGGAUGCAAUUUCAUACUGGGCAUUCAGGGAUGCUCUUCCUGGCAUUUGAGGGAGAGAGAUAGAUGUAGGAGAUCAAGCCAUGCGGAAUCUGGGAAAACAUUUCAAGCAGAGACAAAACAAAUACCAAGGUGCUAAGACAGGAGCCUGCAUGCCAUUUCCGGAGAAAGACAGGGAGCCUGGUGUGGCUGAAAGAUGAAGGCUGGAAUAGUAGAGACUGAGGAUUAAGAGGAAGUCAAGCCAUGCAAGUCCUAUACAACCAUGGGAGGAGACCUGGUGUAACAGCCAUUUCAGCAUGGUGGCUUCCAACUUUGACCUUGUUCUCAAGGUCAGUUUCUACAAAUCUUAGUCUCUUCAUCUUUGAUUUUCAUCCUUUAAUGAAAGUCAAAGCCACCAGAGUAUUUGAGAAGCGGGGUAACGAGACUUGACUUUGUUCUAGAAGAUUUCUCAGGCAAUAGUUCUACAAUGUUUCUAUCUGCCACUGGAUGAAACAGACUGCUUUUUUGUAGAGGAGGUUGAUUAAAUAAAUACAUCAAAUUAAAUGGGAAGACUAAUUUUCUAGGAUCAUUUUCAUGCACGCUUAUCCUAGAUUUAGCAGAAACAUGUGCACUGAUAUUUAAAAUGGCUCCAAAUACUUAUUAUUUACAUAAAAUAAGUAGUAAACACCUAAAACAAACUAACGCAGUCUGAUCCUUUCAACUUUUGGUCUUUCAUUCCUUAUUUGUAAUGCAAACUGUCCUGGAAGAGGGUACUACGUAUUUCAGCUGCAUAAAAUGUAUGGAUGGCAUCAAAUUAUGAGGGCUUACGCUCAGUUAUUUUUAGAGGAAGAGACUGUUAAAAUCUGGGGUAAAUUAUACUUAAGUCAAAGACUAAAAGAUGAAAUUUCAAUAUAUACCUGAAAAAAGUCUUAGUUAUGAGUUACCAUCAGUUUUAGAAAUAGUGAUUGUUCACAGUCAUAUCCAAUUUGAAAUAUAAAUAGAAAAUGAUUUCUUUUCCUAUUUGCUUGAAUCAGAACAAAAUAUCAGAACACCAUAACAUUUCCUGUCUUUCGUUUUUGACUUUUUGAUAAUUUUUUAUUCCUAUACACUUGGGAAAUUUAUUGGAAUAAAAAGUGAAAUACAUAUGCCCCCAAAAACUUGUUAGUAAAAUUAUGAUGAUGCUUUUGUUGCCUGGAGUUGUUGAAGGGUAUUAUCUUUUGGUGGCAGAAAAUUUUCCUCCACGUGUUCCUAUUUUCUGAAAAUAUUUUCUUUCAAUUAAUUUAGUUCCACACAUUUUGGUUGGCACGUUUGAAUAUAUAACUAUAUUAUGGUAUAAAUGCAGGUAGAAGACUAAUAAAAAGGGGCAGUUGUAGGGAUCCAGCUAUCUAGUGUUCCUCUGAGAAGUAAAUUUUGAAAGAAGAAACAUUCAAUUAGAUUUCAAGAUUGUCAAAAAACCACGCUGCCAAUAAACUGUGGACGUGCAAACAACAGACUGUUGGAGCGGAGAGGAAAGAGAGAAGGUUGCACAAUUGCUGACUGUGCUUAAAAGAGCCAGCGGGAUUAAAGGCAAAGAAAAAGUUUUUCAAAUAUAUUGAAAAAAGAGUUAUACUAGAAAGUACGACUGAAAAUAAAUAGGGAGGGAAAAAUCCAUGUUACUGACAGUGGCUUAAGAUUGAACUGGUUUUAAAAAUCUGUGUCUGACAAGGCAAACAUAUUUUGGGCAACUAGGACAUAAUAAAGACCUGGUUUAUUAGAAAAUGAUUUCAGCAGCUGAUGGCAUUUCUGCAUACUAAUAGGCAGGACUUAGAAUUUUCAACCAUGCCUGCUGCUACCUGUACUAAAAUGUCUAUAAAGUAAUUUGCCAUCUAAGCUACUACCUUUACCCAGGAGUGAAGCCUGAUUUUGCCUUCAGCUCCCGAUCACUUUCAUGAAAUUGAAAAAUCAGGUAGAAUGUGUGAAGUCUCAAAGGACUGAUAAAAAGACCGGCAACCAAAGCUGUGAGUUUUAACCCUAUUCUUGCCAUUGUCUUCCUCAGUGUCACCAUAACCUUUGCACACUUGUGUUUCUAAUGUGUGAUGAUUACACUCCCCUAGCAAAAAUAUGUGGCUCAGGAGAGUUUAACGUGUCAUAAAGUGUUUCUGAAAUAUACGAUUAGGAAGAGAAUGGGGUGACGUCAGUAAGAAUUAAGUUAUUGAGUUUAAUCAACCCAGAGGCAAUGUGACUAAGUAACUAGGUGCAGUCUAUGUAGACAAACUACCUUGAUUUUAACUCCUGUCUUAUUGUUUUCUAGCUGUGUAACCCAGGGCAAAUGACUUAACUGCUCUAGUUCCUUAUCCAUAAAACUAGACUUAACUAUUGUAAGGGAUACCUAAGACAAGACGCACAGUGCUCCAUAAUGCCAGUUAUAAUUAUGAGAGAAAAAUCUUCUUAGACUCAAAGACAAAAUGAGAAAUACUGAGACUACAUUUGCACAUGUGAGAAGAAACUGAGCUUACAAAAGUUGGGCCCUAAACCAUAUUUUAAGAAUACAGUAACUCAAUGGAAGUUGAAUCAAUGUCAUGUAAAUAAUGAGUGUUGCACAGCCUGCCAUAUGUCUACAGCCCUCAAAGGUAAAGAUUAAAUGCUGAACUCUGAAGUUUGCUUUCCGUUGAUGGUGGAUGGAUGGGAGGACACCAGGGGGUAAACAAUGAUGUGAUUGCCUCGAUUGUACCUGUAGGGUUUUAUGAAAUCUUCAUAUAUGGAGGUAACUGAGUGAUGACGUGAAGAGGCUAACACCAUUGAAAUAACGCCAUUUAUGGCCAGGUAUGGCUGGCACCUAUAAUCCUAGCACUUUUGGAGGCCAAGACAGGAGGAUUGCUUGAGCCCAGAAGUUUGAGACCAGCCUGGACAAGGCCCCCAAGUCUACAAAAAGAUUUAAGAAACAAAACAAAAAGUUACUUUGGUAGGAUGAUGCAUGCCUGUAGCUCCAGGACACAGUAGGCUGAGGCAGGACAAUGCUUGAACCCAAGAGGUUGAGCUUACAGUGAGCCGUGAUCAUACCACUACACUCCAGCCUGGCUGACAGAGUGUGACUCUGUCUCCAAAAAGAAGAAAAAUAUAUUACUUACAUUUUCCAAGAGGAAGGUGCGUGUCACACCAUGGAGGGCCACAUCAGGAAUCACUAUUGUUGAGCAGGAGUGACUGUUUUUAUUUUGUGUGUGUGUGUGUGUGUUUCUUUUUUUUGAGAAAGGCAAGACAUUCUGGAAUCUCACAUUGCUUUAGGAUUGGUUAGUUUGAAUAGUUCUGGUGGGUUUGCGGGCAAAGGAUCUUUUCCUUAUUGUCUGGUGUGUGGUUACUGGUUGAUUUAGAGCAAAGAGAAUUUUGGAUUGGUGUGAAUUUGAUUAAGGAGAUAGUUGGGAAUUUGGAGUGAUUGGUUUGCAUAUGAAGACAGGAUCUGGAGAGCCCUUUGCUAUUUCUAAAAAUUGAUUAGCCCUGGUAGGCACCGUCUUUCUCCAAUUAGUGAGGCCAUAAAUGCCACAGGAUCAAAAAUAUAAAAAUAAGAAAAGAUGGUUAAUACAAUUGGCCCUGUGAAUAGUGGAAGUCAAAUAGACAACUAUGGAAACUAAGAAAGCAUAGUUAGAACCAUGAUAAAUAAGCAACUCUCUAGUAUUUUAUGAGGUGGGUAAAAGAAAAAAAUAGAGUUAGAUGUGGGUCUUAUGGAGCGCUGGUGGGUGAGGUAUGAAAAAAUUGCAGCAUUCAAAGGAUGGUUAGGGGUAGGUCUCAAUGAGAAGAUGAGUGUUAAGGCAAGACUUGAGCCAAGACUUGCCUCCAAAUAGAGAUUUGAAUACUUUAGAAUUCUAGCAAGACACAGAAAAUGAACACAUCAAUGAACAGGAUGCUCUCAUUCAUUCAUUCAUUCACUCACUCAUUCAGUUGGUUGGUCAAUCAGUCAGUUAGAUAUUAAAGAAAUAUUUAUCAAGUACCCACUAGGCCAGGGACCAAAUAGACUUUGGGGUUACAAUGGUGAACACUGUAGAAACAGACUCUACCAUCAUGUAGCUUAUCAGUUAGUUGAAGAGACAAAUAUUGACUUAAUGGACACGCAAGUAAAUACAAGCACACCUUGUUUUGUUGUGCUCCAUUUUGUUGCACUUUGCAGAUAUGAAAUCUUUUCCAAAUUGAAGGUUGGUAGCAAUUGUGCAUUGAGCAAGUUGAUUAGUGGCAUUUUUCCAUGGCGUGUACUUACUUCAUGUCUCUGUAUCACAUUUUGGUAAUUAUCAUGAUAUUUGUAAAUUUCUCAAUAUUAUUAUAUUUUUUAUGGGGAUCUAUGUGUAAUGCUCUUUGAUGUGAUUAUUUUAAUUGUUUUUGUUAAUCUGCACACAUCUAAGAUAGUGAACUUAAUAAAUGUGUAUGUUCAGACUAGUCCACUGACCAGCCAUUCUCUCAUCUCUCUUUCUCACCUCAGACCUCCUACUCCCUGAAACACAAUCAUAUUAAAAUUUAGGUCAAUUACCAAAUAAUCCAAAAAGAAGGAAUCUUAAAAAAAAAAAAAAAUUUAGGUCAAUUAGUAACCUUACAAUGAUCUCUAGGUCUUCAAGUGAAAGGAAGAGUUUCAAAUAUCUCACCUUAAAUCAAAAGUGAAAACUUAUUAAACUUUGUGAGAAAGGCAUGUUUAACCCAAGACAGGCCAGAAGCUAGGACACCUGAACCAAACAGCCAAGUUGUGAAUGCAAAGGAAAUUAAAAGAGCUACUACCAUGAAUAUAUGAUUAUAAAGAAAGUGAAGCAGCUUUAUUGCUGAGGUGAAGAAAGUUUGAGUGGUCUAGAUAGACGAUCAAACCAGCUGCAACCUUCAUUUAAGACAAAGCCUAAUCUAGAGCAAAACUUUAGCUCUCUUCAAUUCUUUGAAGGCUGAUAAAGGUGAGGAGGCUACAAAAGAAAAGUCUGAAACCAACAUAGAGGUUGGUUCAUGAGGUUUAAGGAAAGAGGCCCUCUUCAAAGCAUGAAAGUGCAAGGUGGAACAGCAAGUGCUGAUGGAGAAGCUGCAGCACAUUAUCCAGAGCAUUCAGCAUUUAGCAUUCGUUGAUGAAGAUGGCUACACUAUACAACACAUUUUCAGUGUAGAUGAAACAGCCUUCCACUGGAAGAAUUACGGAGUAAGUAACUACAGAUGUAUUGGACAUUGCAAUAGAAAUAGAAUUAGAAGUGGAACUUGAAGAUGUGACUGAAUUGUUGCAAUCACACAAGAAAACUUUAAUGGAUGAAGAGUUGCCUCUAUGGAAGAGCAAAGACAGUGAUGUCUUAAAAAGAAAUCUACUCCUGGUGAUGACGCCAUGGACAUUGUUGAAAUGAAAAUAAAGGAUUUUGAAUAUGACUGUAAAUUUAAUUGAGUUUCGCAGCAGCAGGAUUGGAAAAGACUGACUCUGACCUUGAAAGAAGUUCUGCUGUGGGUGAAAUGCUGUCAAACAGCAUUAAAUACUUUAAAGAAAUGAAAGGAAGAGUCAAUUGAUGUAGCAAACUUCAUUUUUGACUUUUCUUUUUAGAAAUAGCCACAGCUCCCUCAACCUUCGGCACCCACCACCUUGAUCCAUCAGCAGCCGUCAAAGUUGAGGCAAGACACUCUACCAACAAAAAAACUAAACAAAACCAAAACUGCUCCCUAAAGGCUUAGAUCAUUGUUAGCAUUGUUUAAGCAAUGAAGUCUUUUAAAAUUCUAUGUAUAUGAUUUUUGUGAGUCAUAAUGCUAUUGCACACUUAGUAGACUACAGAAUUGUGUAAACAUAACUGUUAUAUGCACUAGAAAACCAAAAAAAGGUGUGUGACUCACUUUAUUAUGAUACUUGUGGACUGCACUAUCUCAGAGGUAUUCCUGUAUUUAAUUGGGACUGGACAGUAGCUAUCCAGUGUUAGGAAAGCCUGUAAUAAGGCUGUUUGAUUUAGCUCAGAAAGUCAGGAAAGGGGCCGUUGAGAUAUGAAGAAUAACUAGAUGCUGACCAGUCAAAAAAGGGAGAGAAGAUUAUCUUUGUAGAAGAAACACCUUGUGCAAAAUCCAUGAGAUAGAAGUUUAAGGGGUAGGAGGCAAAUGGAGAGACGAACGUAGUCCACGGUGCAGAUGAGGCUGAAGGCGUGUGCUGGGGGAAGGUAGUGACCAAGUAGAGCCUUUCGCACCUCAUGAUGCAGUUUUACAGAGAGCAACGGACAGUGGAGGAAGAACUUUAAGCUGAGGUAUCGCUUGACCUUCCCUGGCUUUGAGAAUGGAUAUAGGUAGAACGUUGAGAGGGCCAGAGUCUAGGUGGGUGAUGGAGAUUGCUCGGAUCAAGAGAGCUACGGUGCAGACAAAGAAGAAGGAAAUCGUCUUGAUGAUGCAUUUGACAUGAGUGAGGAAACAUGAGUUACCAGUUAUGAAUUCUGGGUCUCUGGCUUGUGAGUGUGGGUUGAUGUGGUUCCAUUCAUUGAGAUGGGAAGCACUGGAAAGGGAUCAGAUCUUUGGGGAAGGUCAUGGAAUUGAUUUUGGACAUAACAUUAUUGAGAUUCCUUUGAUACAUGUGUGUGAAGGGUUCAGGGAGGCAGUUAUUUCUAUGAGUCAGAUCUUCUGAGGAGAGAUGCAGCCUCAAGAGGCAUGGAUACACCCGGAGUAUCUGUUCCCUCUAGAAACGAAUUAAAACUCCUUUUCCAGAUCCAGACUCUGAGCCAGCCAUGCCAACACAGGAAACCCCACUGAAGCCCUGGCUUUUUGUCUACUACCAGAAAUAUCCCAUUGUUUGUAAGUUGGCCAUUGAAAAGACCCCUCUCUACCAAUGUAGGCAGGGACAAAGGCUGGGGGCCUUGGAAUGAACCUUUAUUUCUCUCAUCUGAAGGCCAUUCUGGAAUAGGAAUGUUUUUUCUUCCCCACUAUGAAGUCAUAAUGUACCCCUUGAACAUCCUCAGCUUCUUGACCUGUUAGAUGCUGGUUGUGUGCCUCUCUGCUUCCUACUAGGGGACAAUGUAGGUUGGACGUUAAAAUAGCUAAAACAUAGGAUUUGUAGGCAGACAAUAUCUGGAUGAAAUCUCAAUCUAUGACAAAUUUAACUACUUGAAGCUUCAAUGUCUUCAUUAAUAAGAUGGAAGUGAUCAUAUUCACCUAAUCGUUUUGUUUUGAGGACUGAAGAAGAUAACAUGGGCAAAAUGCUUUAGUACAACGCUACAGUGCCAAAACAUGAUAUGUUUUCUUCUUUAUCUUUCUUUCUUUUUUGUUUUUGAGAUGAAGUCUCGCCCUGUUGCUCAGGCUGGAGUGCAGGGGCGCAAUCUUGAUUUACUGCAACUUCUGCCUCCUGAGUUCAGAGGAUUCUCCCACCUCAGCCUCCCAAGUAGCUGGGAUUACAAGCAUGCACUACCUGGUACAGGUAAUUUUGGUAUUUUUAGUAGAGAUGGAGUUUUACCAUGUUGGCCAGGCUGGUCUCAACUUCUGACCUCAAGUGAUCUACCUGCUGCAGCCUUCCGAAGUGCUGGGGUUUCAGGCAUGAGCCACCAUGCCUGGCCUAAAACGUGAUCUGUUUUCAAUGAAUGAUAAUCAUGGCUUUAUUUAUUCUUAACCAUGCAUUCUGAUUUUGUGUCGUGGUGACUCAAUCUGAAAAUUGCCAUCGUUAGAAUUGAGGAGAUGAUAUAAAACAAAAAGUCAAUAUUGUGUCUAACUGUACAUUUUUAUGAAAAGAAGGAGAAAGCAUAUUUUAAAGACUAAAUUUUUAUUUGUGGAAGAUUUAUUAAUUUUAAAAUUUCAUCUACAGGCUCACAUGCAUACAAACCUACAGGUGCACAUACAUGUGUCCUUCUGUACAGGAAGUUGAUGGUUAUGGGAUCCACCCGAAGAUACCAACUCCAACACAGGUCUUCGGGAAUUUGAUAGCAGGACCUCCAAGCCCUAAAUGCUUUUGAUGUCUCUUUUACAAGAUCUAAGAAGCUUACACAAAUCUUUCCAUUUAACUUUUUGUUUUCAUUUUAUAGGUGAUAAUUUUACUAACCAACCUCAGAAUCUGUUCUGUCUUGGUUAGCUCUAUUAACCAAUGCGCAGCCAGUGCUGGGAUAAGAUUGAUCUUUGGGAAUCUCCCGAGUCUGGUACAAGAUGGUCCUAGUGUUUGUCAUCCAUUCUUUCCUAGUUAGGUUUCAACUUCAAAUAUUUGUAUGUGUUUCUAGGCAGUUUUAGGAAAUGAAUUCAUCAAUUCUUUUUCCAAUCCGUCAUGAUUGAUUAUUAAUAUUGGCACAACUGUUAAAUCAUUAUUCCCUAAUCAGUCUAAUAUUUGGUAACAUGCUUUAUAAGGGUAAUUGUUAUUCUUAACUUUAUUCUGAUGAUCACCAGUGAUCACUGCAAUAAUUGUUCAUGCAAAAUUAAAUUAAAAUGGCCCCCUAACAAUUUCGUGUGGACAGCAUUCACAGUGGCACAGUUAUUUUUUCUUUAAUCUAGUCUCUUUUGCAGAAACUCUCACCAGUUAGGUAUGAUCUUUUCUGGUAGUAGGAGACACACAUGGUAUUGCUCCUUUGAUUCGAUUAUCAUUUCAAGCCAAAAAGCCACUCAGCUACUCCUAUUGCUUGGUUAUAAAAUAGCUAUUUUAUUUCCUUUCUUGUAUUUGCCCAUUCUUCAUGAAACAGCCUUCAGGUAAAUGACAGAGUCUUAACCCCAGCCCAUAAAAAGAGGCAAAGCAUAGCCUUCUCUAAAAUUUCUAGGCCUGAAUUUGGAAUCAGAGCCCUCUGGCAUUUUACUUUGUACAAAUUACCUGACUAGUUCAAGGCUCAUCAAUAAAUAGGAAUGAGAACACCUAUUCCAACCUCUGAGCCAUGUGGAGAGUAUUCGUCAGGAAAAUGUAAGCUUUGUAACCUGUGAGGUCUUGAAUACCUGUAAGCUGUUUUUCAUCAACUUCCUUUUAAAUAAAUAUAUCAGGAACUUAAAUCACACACACACACACACACACACACACACACACACACGCACACACACACACACACACAAAUCAAGGUAAUCAUCAUAUAUAUUGCAUUAGGUUCAUCCCUAAUUACCUGUAUUGUUCUCCCUUUGGUCAUUUUCUUCCAUUGCCUCUGCUGCAGACACAAAUGAACUGAAAGAACCUGGAGGUUUUCUUGGCACAUACACACAUGGACUCUCCCCAGCCAGUUACCAAUGUAGGUUUAACUACAAAGAAAUUGAGAGAAGGAAGAGAAUCUGAGCUGUAAUACUCCGUGGCUAGUCUAGGUUUCUGAUUAGCCACUGCCUUAUGCUGGUUAUUUUCAUCCUCAUUUCUGGAGGCCUUGAGCUUAUUCAUUAGAAUUUUCGCUAGCUAUUCAUUUUCUAAAUGCAGUCAUUUCUCUGCUAUGAUAUUGCCUGUCAAUCAAAAACAAGAUAAUGUUCACUAUUAUCAAUACAUUUUUUAUUUCUUUUUUCCAUUCAUCUUUUCCCAUUGGCUUUUUAAAAAGCCUUUCCUAUUAAUAAUGCUUUAUAUUUGGAUAAUACUUAACACACUCUCUCAGGUACAGCAUAUUGGUUAAUUUGAACCUCAAAACAGCAACCUACUUAAUGUGGCAUGGAAACCAGGAAUGGCUAUUAGCUACUUUGUUCUGUGAAUGAAGAAUCUCUGUUUUACUUUUUUGCUAGGUACUACUAGCAGAAAAGAGACUGAGAUCCUCUUUGCUGACCUCAAAAUAAUGUUUUUAACUGGACGUAACGCUGGGCGGGAUACUUUAACUCUCCUUGUUUCUUUUUCCUCAUUUACAACAAAUGGGGUAGAUUUGACCAUCUUCAAAGUCUGUUUAUCUUUAAAUUGGGGAUCUAUGUCAUAAAAUAUUUAUUGUGACCCCGUGUGGAGUGCUGCUAAUUCUAGAGCUGUGAAGAGUCAUAGGGCACCCUCACUGUCUUCUAAUAGCUACGAUACAGCUGGAGGGUAGCAGAUGCCGAUGAGAAGAUAAAUGAAGACCCGAGUUUAAUUUUCUAGGUCCUAUAUGACUGACAUGCAAAAGUAAGUGCUCUCAGGGAGGAGGGAAAGUCAUUAUUUCUCCAAACUAUUGGCAAAUGGAUUGACAUCUGGAUCUUGAAGUUUCAAAGUAAGGGAGAAGCCUUCCCCUUAACAUUAGCUAUAGACUGAUGUAAAGAGGAUUAAGGAUCAAAAGUGUAUCUAUGGAUAAAAGGAGAAUGUUUACAUUUAAAAAGUCAGUAUAAAGGAAAAUACAUUUGUGGGGUGGGGAGCAAUGUUCAUCAGUUUAAAAGCUAGUAUAAAACUUAUCUUGGAAAUUUUAUAAUAAAAGACCUCAAGCAAUUUUUUCACUUGUUUUAAUAUUCUGCAUUUCUUGAGCAUUGGAUGAAAAUAAAAAUUAAAGCAAGGCUCUAAGCAGAAAAAGAUAUGCAAGGAUAAUGGACAAUUUGGGGAAAUAGCUUUUAGGGCUGAAAUUUCUGUGUGUAUUUUUCCUGAGUGUAAUGCUUUUAAAGAUGGCGCCCUGUGAGUUACCAUGACAACCUACAGGUAUCAUCUUUAGAAGGCUAAGGCUACAGAUCUCAACUCAAAGUAUUUCAUCCAUACACUUUUGGAAAAAGCCUGUCGAUGACUGUAGAGGGAAUGCACAAACCAUGAAGUAGUCAAUGCUAUUAUGGCCCAUUUCUUUGAAAUAGUAUUAGUCUGGUUGAAGUUGCUUUUAUAGUUUUGAAGGACCUCUUCUUUCCAUUUCAUCGCUGCCUUUAAAGUUUGAAGCAUACUUCAUUUUCAGCUCCUUAUUGAAUGUCUCUUAAGACAAGGCAAAAAUAAAGGCUAAAGCUUAUUUCCUGUGUUCAUGAUUCUUUGAAAAAGGAAAAGAGGUUCAAGUGUUUUUGGUCAUACCAUAAUUUUGAAGUUGUUCUUCGUCCUUGAGCUGUGUUUUCUCAGGAUACUAUUUUUCGAAAUAAAUCCAGACAAAGAAUUGACAACUAACUUGCAGUUAUGAAGAAAAAAGCCAGAAGAUACAGAUGACAUAAAAGAUCCUCAGAAUGUAGUUGUUUUCUGUCAAGGUUGUAAUGAAGGCUGGUGAGACACUUCUUAGCAUGUAUGAGGGCGGAUUUGGAUUCUGGAUCUCACACUGGCAGCUGAAGCUAGACAGACCAGCAGCUCUGUGCAGACGUGUCACAGUUGUUGAUGGAUCUCGAUGCAUGCCUUGCCUCAGUGGUGUGGCGUUUUGCAGUUACAGCAGUGAUAAUCUGAUGCCCUGAGGAUGUCAAGUUGUUUGUCCUGAAGUGUGUGAGCCAUUUCCACUUACCAUUGGAAAACUGAGCAGUUCAAUCCAUGUGAAGAUGUUGACAGAUGAACAAAUGUCACUGGUGAGAAAGAAGAAUGGAUUAGGGGUUAAUGGGAAAGAGUAGGAGGUUUUGAAAAGAGUUAAGUUAAAUCUAUUUCUUUCAUUUUAUUGUUUGGAAUACAGGGAUGCCAUGCUAACUCACUGCAGCCUCAAACUCCUGGGUUCAAGGGAU